CCUACGGGUGGCAGCAGUGAGGAAUAUUGGUCAAUGGACGAGAGUCUGAACCAGCCAAGUAGCGUGAAGGAUGACUGCCCUAUGGGUUGUAAACUUCUUUUAUAAAGGAAUAAAACGAGGCACGUGUGCCUUUUUGCAUGUACUUUAUGAAUAAGGAUCGGCUAACUCCGUGCCAGCAGCCGCGGUAAUACGGAGGAUCCGAGCGUUAUCCGGAUUUAUUGGGUUUAAAGGGAGCGUAGAUGGGUUGUUAAGUCAGUUGUGAAAGUUUGGGGCUCAACCGUAAAAUUGCAAUUGAUACUGGCUGUCUUGAGUACAGUUGAGGUAGGCGGAAUUCGUGGUGUAGCGGUGAAAUGCUUAGAUAUCACGAAGAACUCCGAUUGCGAAGGCAGUUCACUGAACUGCAACUGACACUGAGGCUCGAAAGUGUGGGUAUCAAACAGGAUUAGAUACCCUAGUAGUC
rnacentral:rRNA from 1 species